rnacentral:rRNA from 1 species
AGUGAACGCUGGCGGUAGGCCUAACACAUGCAAGUCGAACGGCAGCACAGUAAGAGCUUGCUCUUACGGGUGGCGAGUGGCGGACGGGUGAGGAAUACAUCGGAAUCUACUUUUUCGUGGGGGAUAACGUAGGGAAACUUACGCUAAUACCGCAUACGACCUACGGGUGAAAGCAGGGGAUCUUCGGACCUUGCGCGAUUGAAUGAGCCGAUGUCGGAUUAGCUAGUUGGCGGGGUAAAGGCCCACCAAGGCGACGAUCCGUAGCUGGUCUGAGAGGAUGAUCAGCCACACUGGAACUGAGACACGGUCCAGAGUCCUACGGGAGGCAGCAGUGGGGAAUAUUGGACAAUGGGCGCAAGCCUGAUCCAGCCAUACCGCGUGGGUGAAGAAGGCCUUCGGGUUGUAAAGCCCUUUUGUUGGGAAAGAAAAGCAGCAGGUUAAUACCCAGCUGUUCUGACGGUACCCAAAGAAUAAGCACCGGCUAACUUCGUG